rnacentral:rRNA from 1 species
GCUAACGCCGUGCCAGCGGGCGCGGUUAUACGGAGGGGGCAAGCGUUAUCCGGAUUUAUUGGGUUUAAAAGGUCCGUAUGCGGAUCUAUAAGUCAGUGGUGAAAUCUCACAGCUUAACUGUGAAACUUCCGUUGAUACUGUAGGUCUUGAGUAAAUUUGAAGUGGCUGGAAUAAGUAGUGUAGCGGUGAAAUGCAUAGAUAUUACUUAGAACACCAAUUGCGAAGGCAGGUCACUAAGAUUUAACUGACGCUGAGGGACGAAAGCGUGGGGAGCGAACAGGAUUAGAUACCCCAGUAGUC